rnacentral:lncRNA from 1 species
ACAAACUCUGCUUGCCAAAAUCAGCAGGUGGUCUCAAUUUAACAAACAUCUACACAUGGAAUAAAGCUGCCAUACUUAAGCACUACUGGAACCUAUGUAAGAAGAAGAAUAAGCUCUGGAUACAAUUGUGCAUAUCUACUAUACUAAGGGUAAUAAAGUAUGGGAAAUCACUGCUGCAAAGCAUCUUGGCUGAUUCAGAAGAUCCUAAAGGCUAAACAACACCUGGAGAAUGCAUGACUAUCCGUCGAGGAAUUUUUGAAAUGUGAGACAUAUGCUAUAAAGACAAUGUACAAUAAGCUGAGAGACAAUUAUCCUAAAGUGCAUUGGAGAAGGUUGAUGCGCAACAACUAGGUAAGGCCCAAGUGGUUAUUCAUCAUAUACCUUGCAAUACAAGACAGACUAUAUACAAGGACUAAAUUGCAAAAAUAGGGUAUUGGCUAUGACACGACCUGUCCAUUGUGUGAUAGCGCUGAAGAGGAUGUGCAGCACCUGUUCUUCAAAUGCCCAGUUACAUCCCAGAUUUGGCAGCAGAUCCUCCAGUGGCAGGGAAUUCAACGACAUGCUAUGGAAUGGAAGGAAGAAGUUGAGUGGGUGCAAAAACAUGCUUAUAGUAACAAUGCAAAAGCAGAGAUAUACCGUAUGACCCUUGCAGGAAGUGUAUACUAUACUUGAUUGGAAAGGAACAUCAAAAUCUUCCAACAAAGAACUAGACCAGCAAAACUAUAGUAAGACAGAUCAUUCAAGACAUAUAUUGUAGAGGAAGAAAGAGAAAGAAAUUGGCAAUCAAGUUGAAGACACUUGACUACUACCCUAGUUAGUCUGUAGGAAAAUAUAUCCUAGUUUGCAACUCUCU